rnacentral:rRNA from 1 species
GGCGGCGUGCCUAAUACAUGCAAGUAGAACGCUGAAGAGCGUAGCUUGCUCUUCUUGGAUGAGUUGCGAACGGGUGAGUAACGCGUAGGUAACCUGCCUUGUAGCGGGGGAUAACUAUUGGAAACGAUAGCUAAUACCGCAUAACAAUGGAUGACACAUGUCAUUUAUUUGAAAGGGGCAAUUGCUCCACUACAAGAUGGACCUGCGUUGUAUUAGCUAGUAGGUGAGGUAACGGCUCACCUAGGCGACGAUACAUAGCCGACCUGAGAGGGUGAUCGGCCACACUGGGACUGAGACACGGCCCAGACUCCUACGGGAGGCAGCAGUAGGGAAUCUUCGGCAAUGGGGGCAACCCUGACCGAGCAACGCCGCGUGAGUGAAGAAGGUUUUCGGAUCGUAAAGCUCUGUUGUAAGUCAAGAACGAGUGUGAGAGUGGAAAGUUCACACUGUGACGGUAGCUUACCAGAAAGGGACGGCUAACUACGUGCCAGCAGCCGCGGUAAUACGUAGGUCCCGAGCGUUGUCCCGAUUUAUUGGGCGUAAAGCGAGCGCAGGCGGUUUGAUAAGUCUGAAGUUAAAGGGUUUGGGUCCAACCAUAGUUCGCUUGGGAAACUGUCAAACUUGAGUGCAGAAGGGGAGAGUGGAAUUCCAUGUGUAGCGGUGAAAUGCGUAGAUAUAUGGAGGAACACCGGUGGCGAAAGCGGCUCUCUGGUCUGUAACUGACGCUGAGGCUCGAAAGCGUGGGGAGCGAACAGGAUUAGAUACCCUGGUAGUCCACGCCGUAAACGAUGAGUGCUAGGUGUUGGAUCCUUUCCGGGAUUCAGUGCCGCAGCUAACGCAUUAAGCACUCCGCCUGGGGAGUACGACCGCAAGGUUGAAACUCAAAGGAAUUGACGGGGGCCCGCACAAGCGGUGGAGCAUGUGGUUUAAUUCGAAGCAACGCGAAGAACCUUACCAGGUCUUGACAUCCCGAUGCUAUUUCUAGAGAUAGAAAGUUACUUCGGUACAUCGGUGACAGGUGGUGCAUGGUUGUCGUCAGCUCGUGUCGUGAGAUGUUGGGUUAAGUCCCGCAACGAGCGCAACCCCUAUUGUUAGUUGCCAUCAUUCAGUUGGGCACUCUAGCGAGACUGCCGGUAAUAAACCGGAGGAAGGUGGGGAUGACGUCAAAUCAUCAUGCCCCUUAUGACCUGGGCUACACACGUGCUACAAUGGUUGGUACAACGAGUUGCGAGUCGGUGACGGCAAGCUAAUCUCUUAAAGCCAAUCUCAGUUCGGAUUGUAGGCUGCAACUCGCCUACAUGAAGUCGGAAUCGCUAGUAAUCGCGGAUCAGCACGCCGCGGUGAAUACGUUCCCGGGCCUUGUACACACCGCCCGUCACACCACGAGAGUUUGUAACACCCGAAGUCGGUGAGGUAACCUUUUGGAGCCAGCCGCCUAAGGUGGGAUAGAUGAUUGGGGU